GAAAGAUGAAAAGCACUUUGAAAAGAGAGUUAAAAAGUACGUGAAAUUGUUGAAAGGGAAGCGUUUAUGACCAGACUUGGGCUUGGUUAAUCAUCUGGGGUUCUCCCCAGUGCACUUUUCCAGUCCAGGCCAGCAUCAGUUUUCCCCGGGGGAUAAAGGCGGCGGGAAUGUGGCUCUCUUCGGGGAGUGUUAUAGCCCACCGUGUAAUACCCUGGGGGGGACUGAGGUUCGCGCAUCUGCAAGGAUGCUGGCGUAAUGGUCAUCAACGACCCGUCUUGAAACACGG
rnacentral:ncRNA from 2 species